GGAGCCCGACGUGGGAUUCGAUCCCGGGUCUCCAGGAUCGCGCCCUGGGCCAAAGGCAGGCGCCAAACCGCUGCGCCACCCAGGGAUCCCAGGGAUCUGCUUUUCUUUGACCGCUGUGUUCUCAAGAGCCUAGAACAGUGCCCGGCACAUAAUUGGUGGACGGUACUGAAUUGGGAAGGAUUCGAGGCUGCCGUGAGUGAUAUCAGCUUGGAACAUGGCCAGCGUGCAUCCCGGCUAAGGAAAUGAGAACGGCGAUCAACUAGUGAUGUCUGCUGCGAGCACAGUGGUGGAGAAGGUGGGAUGAGCACAGCAUGGAUUCGCAAUCACCAGGUUGGGCAACUUGGCUGGACUUAUCUCACCCAUGUUUACGCUUCCUUGUAAGCUUAUAUUUUCCCUGUUAUGUUUCCUGUUUUAUUACAUGUACUUCCCUGUGGAAUGAGGCAGGUUAUAAAUAAAAUAAACUGGCAUGUCUC